UUAAAAUUCUUAAUAGCGAUGUGAUGGAGGGCCAUUUUUGAUCUUUCACAGCAGCAGCACUAUGUGUUGUGACAGUAAAUGUGAUUCUGUGCCUAGAUUUUGUUAAGAAGGAAGCCAUCCGCAGACUCAGGGGCAGACAGGCAAGCAUCAAAACAGAUGAUGAUGCACCCAUCCUAACACGCGCUGGCCUGCCGUCCAGUGGGGCCCUUCUUGCCGCCUAGAAAGAACUGUGUGCUGACUGACACUUGUUGACUUGAAGGAGCGGCUGAGAGUGAUUUGCUAAGUACUCCAAAGGCUGGUUCUACCCACUCUACCGCAGGAAGGAAUGAAUCCGAGAGAUGACCAUUCCCCCUGCUGAUUUUCCAAAUGUAGCAAAGCUGGGUCUGCUAGUUCCACUCUAAAGAAAAUAAAGAUAAUAAUCUGAUUUAGACAUUGAAGAACAUCGGUAUGAAUGACAACAGUAGUAGGUAACAGUGAGUCAACAUUUUCCUUUCCAGUCCCAGCUUCUCUUUAGCAUUUAAAAUAUGUCAGCCGGUCGUACAAAGCCAAAUCAUUUUGAGAAUGUAAUUCACAAUAUUUUGGCUUCUAUUUUUCACCAGCUUCUGAGUAAUAUAUUGUACAAGAAAGAGGUCUUUGUUGUGUUUAUAAUACAUGUAUAACCUGGUGGGAAGCCGAAUAAAAAAUGUAUAUUAUUUGCAUAACUUGAACUAAAGAACCUAAUGCAUUAUUGGGUCUUGAAUGUCUUAAAUUUAAGUGAGCUGGCUUAAGAGUAAUACUACUCUAUUACUGUUCUGUAAUUCAUAUAAUGAAAUCACACGGCUAAAAAAAAUUUAAGGUUUUAACAAUGAUAAGUGGAACCUGAUUUUUGAACUCCUUUUUAAUGAAAACAGUAAUUUAUAAACUGGCACAUGUGUGCCCCUUUUUGUUUGCUGACAAUAAAAGGCUGUUGAAUUUGUAUCCUUUCAUCUGCUCCCCCCUCCGCGCGUGUGAGAGAAGCCCAUUUAGCCUCAUGGCGCAGGCACCAAGGACUAACCACCUCCUGGAAAAUCAAGGGAUCUGCUUCCCAGGCACAACCAUUGGAAUGUCUGGACCCCCGUGCAACUUUCUGUGUGCUGACAACCACCCCACCCCAACCUGUGUCUCCUUCAAGUCCACCAUAUGAGUCAUUUGAGCAAGUUGUGGUGACUGAAGUCCCAAAGCUCUCCAACUUUGCACCAUACAUAGAAAAGGAGAAGAGACUUCGCUUCACAUGGGUGGUAUAGUCAUCUUUCAAUCUUAUGGGUGAGCGAUGUCUGCCUUUAGUAGAAACAUAAACCCAUAGCAGUGCACCCUGCCCAACUCAGGAAAUGUGCCUCUGCUUUCAAAAUAGCUGAAGUUACUUAAUAUUUGUAUAUAGAGAGAACAAGUUCUUAAAUGCACCAUCACAGAAGUUCACCUUGCUUGCCUGGCCGAGUGCUCUGACUUAGAGCUCAAGAGAGAUGAUUCUUAUCUAUCUGUAUUUGGAAAUAAAGGACAUAACCAGAGGUUGGAAUGCUCCCUUCUUCCCAAACCAAAUACAUAGGAUUAGUAUGUAUAUUAACUAUUUCACUUCACAAUUACUAAAAUAUUUCUUGAAAGGACCUAGGAAUGACUAAAUUAGUGCGCUAAUAAAUAGAAUGAAAAAUAAAGGCAGUGGUCAAAUGUACAAAAGCAAAAAGAAAUUGUUUAAAAGAAGACACUACAUAGUUGGGACACAUACUACCUGUUAUCAAAUACAAAUGCCAAAUACUAACUGCAUUGCCUUUUAUUAAUUUGAUUUAAAAUGUUUCAAAAUUUUAAAACUGCUCAUAUGGGGCCAGGAAAGUAUUUUUGCUUAGUGUACUUUCUCCUACAGUUGAUGUAGUAGGUCUCCUUCCUGAGAAUACAACACUACGGGCAUAGCUGUCCUCAUACUUAACUGUAAUCUAAAUGGCUUUGUUGAGAAUGUGAUAACUAAUUAUUUUUAAUCUUAAUAUUAAAAAGCAAGGUCUGUAACAGACCAGCUCAAUUGGAAUAUCCUUUCAAGAGAUUAGAACCAUCACACUAGUUCUACAAAUGGCAUCCUAAAAAUCCUUCUGGUGGGCUUUCUGCUUUUUGUUUCUGGAAGGAGAGAAAUGGGGGAGGGGAAAGUUUGGAGAGGAGACGUUGGCUUGAAAAAUAGACUUGGAUGAACUGCAGGCUCUGAAAACAGAUUUCUUUAUCUGCAAGCCAGGUUGGAGAGCAUCCCCAGACUGCUAUUCUGAGCCACCUCGCCCAGUCGAGAAGCCUGCCAUCUCUCGGAUGGCUUAUGAGCUGGAUGCUUUUUCACCUGCAUGUCUCUGGACUUUUUUCAGCGUUAGGUCUCUCCUAAGCAGGAAAAUUCCAAUUUUGCCAACCUGUGUUUUGGUGAUAUGGACUACCAUCUACCUGUGUGGAGCUGAGAUCAUAGAACUCCUAUGACUGGCGAUACAAUUUGGAUUGGAACCGAGGUCAUAAGGUCUUCUUUUAAUACAAGCCAGCGGCCGGCUGGUUGAAUCCCUCUCACUAAUGGUGCCUCUUUCUCCAUGGCUGCAUCAUGGUAAAAUUAUUUACAGUAGACAGCGCCCCUCCUACGAGCUGUAAAGACUAUGUAUGACUGCUGUAUGGAAUGAUCGUAUCUACUAUAUUGGUAAUAAGGGAUUCCACCUGGCACCUAACUGCAACAAAAAAGCUGCUCAUUUUUCCCCACAUCCUUUGGUUCUGAAGAUCGUGGCUCUUCUGUGCUUACAUGAGCAGCAUAAACAUGGGACACACACACAUUUGCUUCUCACUGGUUUGUGUUAGAUGCUCUACUAGGGCAAAUGCUGCCGACAAUAUCCAUGACUUCUGCGGUUUUCCCUUAAUAAAAUCGCUACUCCCUCUGAGCUGAAGAAUCAUUAAUCUGAUUCUUUCUUGUUUUUCUUGUAACAUCUGGUUUUGUCGAGCCUCAUCCUGACUGGAUUUCAGAAGAUGUUAGGAAGAGAACUAACAGGAAAAUGGGGGUGGGGAGAAACAAAGCAACAGCGAUCUGAAGGCUACAGUUAUUAGGAAGUGGUAGGUGGGGAGCCUGGGUGGCUCAGUCAGUUGAGCAUCCGACUUCGGCUCAGGUCAUGAUCUCACGGUUCAUGAGUUCGAGCCCUGUG